rnacentral:lncRNA from 1 species
UUCAAUUAAGUAGUUUUCAUUUGAAAUAAAAAUAUGUGGAUUUAAAUUUAGACUAAUCUUUUUAAAUAAAACUUAAAAUAAUAUACAUUUGAAUUAUUAUAAAUUGAAUCUCGGAACUUUUUACUUACCCUUAACGUGCGAAAAAAAAGGGUGAAAAUUUUCAGAUCAGUAAAGAAGAAACCACCGAGUGAGAUGGAAGGGGCGAAAAACAAGUAGAAAAAAUAAGGUUUAAUACCCAACUUUGUCCCUAGUUUGGUUGGCAAAUCUCAAUUUAGUCUCUCUUUAGAAAAGUGUUUGAAAUUGGUCCUUACUUUUAAAUUUUUGAGUCAAAAUAGUCCCUUCCGUUAAAUAAUGACAAAGUGAUUCUCCCUACACCUCACCAAUCUCACCCUGCACCUCUCUAUUUUUUUAUAUUUCCAAUUGUGUCCUUAUCAGAUAACAUUUUUAAUUGCUUUUUUUAUUUGACCCACUCACGAGGCACUUCGUUCUCUCUAUCUUUUGCCACAUUUCAUACUCUCCUACACCCCCUUUCUUUCUCCUCUUUUUUUUGCAAAGUGUUUCUCCCCCUCCUUCCCUCCUCCCUCGUUUUAUUUGUUGCAAUUUCGCUUUUCAUUCUCACAGACUUAUUUUUGGUGGCUGUGUGGUGGGGUAAGCUCUUGCAGCGGUGGUUGUGGUUGAAGAUCUUGCCACACCUAGAAGUGAGGUUGAGAUGUGGUUCAUGGUAGCCGCACUUGAAAGUGCGAUUGACGCUCGUCGUACUUGGAUUUGCGAUUGAUGUUCUCCGCACUUGAAUCUGCGGUUGAGGCUCGUCGCACUUGGAUUUGCGGUUAACGUUCGUCGCAGUUGGAAUUGGAUGCUCAUGUGUGCCAGAACCUCGCCAUCAACAGUGACCGCAACAACAACUUCCUCGUUUUCAAACACCUAUCCAUAAUGCAGGUUUUAUAAGCCACCAAAGUGUUUUGUGGGUUCAUAAUGAAGAACUGUACAUUCUGAAAGUGCCAAAAAAGGGUGCAGCCGGUGAUGGGUGUAGGUGGAGAAGCCAGAUUAUGGCUUAGAGUCUAGAAGUGAGCUAAAUAGUGAGUGAACACUGUCAAAAGUUAAAGAAGAACCAUUUUUCAUCUUCUCUCUCAUUUACAACAAAAGUACAGAAGAUUGGUUAGAAUAUCAUUUAACUUUUUUCAAAUUUAAUAAAUGAAGGGCAAAAAUGGGUAUUGGGAGGUGUAGGAUGACAUAGAUGAGGUGCAGGGAGGAAUACUCAUAAUGACAAAUAGUUAAAUUUUUUUUCUCUCUCUUCUCAUUUUCUGUGCAUUACAGAUUUUUGUCUGUAUUUACAGUAUUUAAUGAUUAUUGUACUUUUCCAAUAAAAUUUAAUAUCCUUAAUUGAGUGAUGAAGUCAAAAAAAU